GUUCUCCUUUCAGCAGCACGUAUCAUAAGACUGGAAUGAUACAGACAAGAUUAGCAUGGCUCUUCAGCAAGGAUGGCGUACAAAUUAGUGCAGCAUUCCAUAAAAUA